CAUGCAAGUCGCGCGAUAAGCCCCGCAAGGGGCCGAAAGCGGCGUAAGGGAGAGUAACGCGUGGGUAUCUGCCUUCAGAUUCGGGAUAGCUGCGGGAAACUGCAGGUAAUACCGGAUAAUGUCUCCGGACCAAAGGUGUGAUUCCGUCUGAAGAUGAGCCCGCGUCCUAUCAGCUAGUUGGCGGGGUAAUGGCCCACCAAGGCAACAACGGGUACUGGGUGUGAGAGCACGACCCAGCUCACUGGGACUGAGACACUGCCCAGACACCUACGGGUGGCUGCAGUCGAGGAUCUUCGGCAAUGGGCGCAAGCCUGACCGAGCGACGCCGCGUGUGGGAUGAAGGCCUUCGGGUUGUAAACCGCUGUCAGAGGGGAGGAAAUGGCUGGGGGUUCUCCCCCAGUCUUGACCUAUCCUCAGAGGAAGUACGGGCUAAGUUCGUGCCAGCAGCCGCGGUAAGACGAACCGUACGAACGUUAUUCGGAAUUACUGGGCUUAAAGGGUGCGUAGGCGGUGCAGAAAGUUGGGUGUGAAAUCCCUUGGCUUAACCAAGGAAUUGCGCUCAAAACUACUGUGCUAGAGGAAUACAGAGGUAAGCGGAACUUAGGGUGGAGCGGUGAAAUGCGUUGAUAUCCUAAGGAACACCGGUGGCGAAAGCGGCUUACUGGGUAUUUUCUGACGCUGA
rnacentral:rRNA from 1 species